rnacentral:rRNA from 1 species
CGUGUAGGCGGUCAGGUAAGUGGAAUGUGAAAUGCCCCGGCUCACCCGGGGACCGGCAUCCCAAACUGCCUGGCUUGAGUAUGGGAGAGGAUGGAGGAAUUCCUGGUGUAGCGGUGAAAUGCGUAGAUAUCAGGAGGAACACCGGUGGCGAAGGCGUCCAUCUGGCCCAAUACUGACACUGAGGCGCGAAAGCUAGGGGAGCAAACGG